rnacentral:rRNA from 1 species
UGCCAGCAGCCGCGGUAAAACGUAGGGGGCCAGCGUUGCUCGGAAUUACUGGGCGUAAAGGGUCCGUAGGCGGUGURGCAAGUCGGAAGUGAAAUCUCNGGGCUUAACCCAGAGGCUGCUYCCGAAACUGCYGUGCUAGAGUGYGAGAGAGGCGAGUGGAAUUGCGGGUGUAGCGGUGAAAUGCGUAGAUAUCCGCAGGAACAUCCGAGGCGAAAGCGGCUCGCUGGAUCACAACUGACGCUGAGGGACGAAAGCUAGGGGAGCAAACAGGAUUAGAUACCCUGGUAGUCCUAGCCCUAAACCAUCAGGACUUGGGGUUUGCCCUGUACGGGGCAAGUCCCGUAGCUAACGCGUUAAGUCCUGCGCCUGGGGAGUACGGUCGCAAGGCUGAAACUCAAAG